GGGUAUGGGGUGUUACAAAUGUAUAAAAUCAAAUUAUUACAACAUAGACAGACAAAGAACUAGAGCGAAGUAUAGAUUUAAACAAUUACAAUACAGAUUGACUAAGAAUUGGAACAACUGAAAUUAGAACUAACUGAAUUAAAACCUAUACACGACAACAUAUGGUGGAACUCGGAGACCCAUAUAUAUAAUUGCGCAUAGUGAAUC
rnacentral:lncRNA from 1 species